rnacentral:rRNA from 1 species
AUUGAACGCUGGCGGCAUGCCUUACACAUGCAAGUCGAACGGUAACAGGUCUUCGGAUGCUGACGAGUGGCGAACGGGUGAGUAAUACAUCGGAACGUGCCUAGUAGUGGGGGAUAACUACUCGAAAGAGUGGCUAAUACCGCAUGAGAUCUACGGAUGAAAGCAGGGGAUCGCAAGACCUUGUGCUACUAGAGCGGCCGAUGGCAGAUUAGGUAGUUGGUGGGAUAAAAGCUUACCAAGCCGACGAUCUGUAGCUGGUCUGAGAGGACGAUCAGCCACACUGGGACUGAGACACGGCCCAGACUCCUACGGGAGGCAGCAGUGGGGAAUUUUGGACAAUGGGCGCAAGCCUGAUCCAGCAAUGCCGCGUGCAGGAUGAAGGCCUUCGAGUUGAAAACUGCUUUUGUACGGAACGAAAAGCCCUGGGUUAAUACCCUGGGGUCAUGACGGUACCGUAAGAAUAAGCACCGGCUAACUACGUGCCAGCCGCCGCAGUAA